GAGCAAAGGGGCCUGAUAUAGUGGCGAAUCUUUGCAUUGAAGGUUGGCGAUAACAAGUGCAGUUCUCCGUGCCGCUUAGAUUUUCUGUGCUCUGAUGGCCUCGAACAAUCUGCUACAUC
rfam:Triticum aestivum genome assembly, contig: Triticum_aestivum_CS42_TGACv1_scaffold_361511_4DS